rnacentral:rRNA from 1 species
AAGUCGAACGCAGUAGCAAUACUGAGUGGCAAACGGGUGAGUAUAAUGUGGGAAUCUGCCUUUUGGUUUGGAAUAACACGGGGAAACUUGUGCUAAUACCGAAUAAGCCCUUACGGGGAAAGUUUUAACGCCGAAAGAUGAGCCUGCACUUGAUUAGCUAGUUGGUAAGGUAAAAGCUUACCAAGGCAACGAUCAAUAGCUGUUCUUAGAGGAAGACCAGCCACAUUGGGACUGGGACACGGCCCAGACUCCUACGGGAGGCAGCAGUGGGGAAUCUUGCACAAUGGGGGAAACCCUGAUGCAGCGAUGCCGCGUGAGUGAAGAAGGCCUUUGGGUUGUAAAACUCUUUCGUCGGGGAAGAAAAUGACUGUACCCGAAUAAGAAGGUCCGGCUAACUUCGUGCCAGCAGCCGCGGUAAUACGAAGGGACCUAGCGUAGUUCGGAAUUACUGGGCUUAAAGAGCUCGUAGGUGGUUAAAAAAGUUGAUGGUGAAAUCCCAAGGCUCAACCUUGGAACUGCCAUCAAAACUUUUUAGCUAGAGUGUGAUAGAGGUAAGUGGAAUUUCUAGUGUAGAGGUGAAAUUCGUAGAUAUUAGAAAGAACACCAAAUGCGAAGGCAACUUACUGGGUCACUACUGACACUGAGGAGCGAAAGCAUGGGUAGCGAAGAGGAUUAGAUACCCUCGUAGUCCAUGCCGUAAACGAUGUGUGCUAGACGUUGGAAAUAUAUUUUUCAGUGUCGCAGCGAAAGCAUUAAGCACACCGCCUGGGGAGUACGACCGCAAGGUUAAAACUCAAAUGAAUUGACGGGGACCCGCACAAGCAGUGGAGCAUGUGGUUUAAUUCGAAGAUACGCGCAGAACCUUACCAACACUUGACAUGUUCAUCGCGAGACUAAGAGAUUAGUUUCUUCAGUUCGGCUGGACGAAACACAUGUGCUGCAUGACUGUCGUCAGCUCGUG